AUGAUUGUAAGUUUCCUGAGGCCUCCCAGACCUGCUGAACUGAUCUACAUCAAUGACAAGCAAAAGAAGAAGGGGAAAGAGGAGAAGAAGGAAAAGGAGGAUGAGAAGAAGAGAAGGAGGAGUAACGGAAGGAGGAGAGAGAUGAGAAGGAAAAGGAAAAGACAACAGAAGAAAGGAAAAAGAAUAGCACAUGCAAAAUUAUUAAUUUGGGGAAGAAUUCAAAAAGAAAAGAAACAGCACUAUUUAUUUAAUACCGAAUCUGUCACUCCCUAGGCAAAGAAGAAAGACAAGCUCCCAGGAGCCAGAUUAAGUUCCCAAAUCAUUAGCAAGAUACAGGGGUGGGAGAGGGGAAUCCCAGCAACAAGAACAAAAAACCAAAAACAAACAAACAAACAAAAAACAGGAAAACUGUGUGGAAUUUCAUCCUUUACUGCUGACUCCUUAAAGUAGUCCUCUUAGGCAUUGGCAAUUCAGAUUGAGAGGAGUCUUAUUUCAGUUAAAGGGAAGAUAAAAUAAAUU
rnacentral:lncRNA from 1 species